UACGAAGGGGGCUAGCGUUGUUCGGAUUUACUGGGCGUAAAGAGCUCGUAGGCGGUUGAGUAAGUCGGGUGUGAAAACUCUGGGCUUAACCCAGAGCCGCCACUCGAUACUGCUCUGACUUGAGUUCGGUAGGGGAGCAGGGAAUUCCUAGUGUAGCGGUGAAAUGCGCAGAUAUUAGGAGGAACACCGGUGGCGAAGGCGCUGCUCUGGGCCGAAACUGACGCUGAGGAGCGAAAGCGUGGGUAGCAAACAGG
rnacentral:rRNA from 1 species